GAUGAAGAACGCAGCGAAAUGCGAUAAGUAAUGUGAAUUGCAGAAUUCAGUGAAUCAUCGAAUCUUUGAACGCACAUUGCGCCCGCCAGUAUUCUGGCGGGCAUGCCUGUUCGAGCGUCAUUUCAACCCUCAAGCCCUCGGGCUUGGUGUUGGGGGCCGGCCUUCCCGCCUCAUGGCGGGGGGGUCGCCCCCGAAAUUCAGUGGCGGUCUCGCCGCGGCUUCCCCUGCGUAGUAACUCACCUCGCACUGGAACGCGGCGCGGCCACGCCGUGAAACCCCCCAACUUCUAAAGGUUGACCUCGGAUCAGGUAGGAAUACCCGCUGAACUUAAGCAUAUCAAUAAGCGGAGGAA
rnacentral:misc_RNA from 1 species